UGAAUACGAGACGCUAAGGCGUCGAAGUAGUGUAUGUCAUACUUCCAAGAAAAGCUUGCACUGUCAUAGAUAAAAAACGCCUGUACCAUAACCGACACAGGUGGGUAGGUAGAGUAUACUAAGGGGCGCGAGAUAACUCUCUCUAAGGAACUCGGCAAAAUAACUCCGUAACUUCGGGAGAAGGAGUGCCUUAUUCUUAAGGUUGCAAUAACAAGAUCCAAGCAACUGUUUAUCAAAAACACAGGUCUCCGCUAAGUCGUAAGACGAUGUAUGGGGGCUGACGCCUGCCCAGUGCCAGAAGGUUAAAGAAGCUGGUUAGCAUUUGCGAAGCUAGUAACUGAAGCCCUGGUGAACGGCGGCCGUAACGAUAACGGUCCUAAGGUAGCGAAACUCCUUGUCGGGUAAGUUCCGACCCGCACGAAAGGCGUAAUGAUUUGGAUACUGUCUCGGAGAGGGGCUCAGUGAAAUAGACUUGUCUGUGAAGAUGCGGACUACCUGCACCAGGACAGAAAGACCCUAUGAAGCUUUACUGUAACUUGAAAUUGAAAUUGGACUUUAUUCGCGCAGUAUAGGUGGGAGGCGUUGAUUAUAAUCUUGCGGGAUUAUUGGAGCCAUUAGUGAGAUACCACUCUUGUAAUGUUAGAUUUCUAACUUUGAAUCAUUAUCUGGUCAAAGAACAGUUUCAGGCGGGCAGUUUGACUGGGGCGGUCGCCUCCUAAACGGUAACGGAGGCGUACAAGUUUCCUCUGAACGGUUAGAAAUCGUAUCUAGAGUGUAAAGGCAUAAGGAAGCUUGACUGUGAGACCUACAAGUCGAGCAGGGACGAAAGUCGGUCUUAGUGAUCUGACGGUACUGAGUGGAAAGGCCGUCACUCAACGGAUAAAAGUUACUCUAGGAUAACAGGCUGAUCUCCCCCAAGAGUUCACAUCGACGGGGAGGUUUGGCACCUCGAUGUCGGCUCAUCGCAUCCUGGGGCGGUAGUACGUCCCAAGGGUUGGGCUGUUCGCCCAUGAAAGCGGUACGCGAGCUGGGUUCAGAACGUCGUGAGACAGUUCGGUCCAUAUCCGGUGUAGGCGUUAGAAUAUUGAGAGGAGCCUUCUUUAGUACGAGAGGACCGAGAAGGACAUACCUCUGGUGUACCAGUUAUCGUGCCAACGGUAAACGCUGGGUAGCUAUGUAUGGAGUGGAUAACCGCUGAAAGCACCUAAGUGGGAAGCCCACCUCAAGAUAAGUAUUCUCA
rnacentral:rRNA from 1 species